AUGGGUGGUGGUUGUGUGGAGACUCUUCUUCCUCACUGUCGAUAUGAUUUUUUGUUGUUGUUAUUCCUCCUUUUUUGUGCUGUUGCUGGAAGGGUGUCCUGCUUUGCCCGAUCGGUUGGUUUGGCCAUUACGCAGGAACCAGGUCCUAGUUCUCUUCCAUCUGGAAGGGGCACAUAUAUGGCAAAGGCUGGUGCGGGCGUGUUUGAUGCACAUGUGUGUCCUUGUCUUUUCGGUGCUGGAGCGAAAAACAAGGGAAGCAGCGUGGCGGUGAUUAUGUUGUGGUUGAAGAUGAUGACCUGCUUGGGUCUGGUUGGAGAUUACUGUGUUGUAGGGGUUUCCUCGCAAGAUUCAGAGAUGAUGACACAUAGCUCUGGAGAGAUACUCGUGUUUUAUUGGUUAUUUUAG
rnacentral:rRNA from 1 species